rnacentral:rRNA from 1 species
CCUACGGGUGGCAGCAGUGGGGGAUAUUGCACAAUGGGGGGAACCCUGAUGCAGCGACGCCGCGUGGGUGCAGGAGUGCUUCGGCAUGUAAAGCCCUUUCGGCAGGGAAGAAGCAAGACGGUACCUAACUAAGAAGCCCCGGCUAACUACGUGCCAGCAGCCGCGGUAAGACGUAGGGGGCGAGCGUUAUCCGGAUUCACUGGGUGUACAGGGAGCGUAGACGGCCAUGCCAGCCAGGGGUGAAAGCCCGGGGCCCAACCCCGUGACUGCGCUGGGCACUGCAUGACUGGAUUGCGGGAGGGGCAGGGGAAUUACUGGUGUAGCGGUGAAAUGCGUAGAGAUCAGGAGGAACACCGGCGGCGAAGGCGGCCUGCUGGACCGCGACUGACGUUGAGGCUCGAAAGCGUGGGGAGCGAACAGGAUUAGAUACCCGGGUAGUC